GAGAGCAAGAGCCCGGAGAUGGAUUCUGAGACACGAAUCCAGGCCCUACGGGGUGCAGCAGGCGCGAAAACUUUACAAUGCUGGCAACAGCGAUAAGGGAACCUCGAGUGCCAGGUUACAAAUCUGGCUGUCGAGAUGCCUAAAAAGCAUUUCAUAGCAAGGGCCGGGCAAGACCGGUGCCAGCCGCCGCGGUAACACCGGCGGCUCGAGUGGUAACCGUUAUUAUUGGGUCUAAAGGGUCUGUAGCCGGCCGGAUAAGUCUCUUGAGAAAUCUGGCAGCUUAACUGUCAGGCUUUCAGGAGAUACUGUCUGGCUCGAGGCCGGGAGAGGUGAGAGGUACUUCAGGGGUAGGGGUGAAAUCUUGUAAUCCUUGAAGGACCACCAGUGGCGAAGGCGUCUCACCAGAACGGACCUGACGGCAAGGGACGAAAGCUAGGGGCACGAACCGGAUUAGAUACCCGGGUAGUCCUAGCCGUAAACGAUACUCGCUAGGUGUCGGCCACGGUGCGACCGUUGUCGGUGCCGUAGGGAAGCCGUGAAGCGAGC
rnacentral:rRNA from 1 species